rnacentral:misc_RNA from 1 species
CCGAGUUACAAACUCCCAACCCCUUGUGAACGUACUGAAAUGUUGCUUCGGCGGAUAGCCCGCUCAGGUAAAGGACGGACCGCCGGAGGAAUCCCUAAACUCUUGUUUUAUAUGGCAAUCUCUGAGUAAGCUUAUAAAUAAGUUA